AUGAUAAGAAUGACCACAUAUGCACCCCCACACACGCAUGGGUGCCAACAAUGGUAUGCAGAGUGCUCUCUAUGGGAACAUGCCACUGGGCAGAGGGACUCAGGUGAAGCUGCUCCCCUCCUCCUCUCCCUCUCCACCAUGCCUGAUGACAUUUUUUCACAUUCCCCACCCCUCUACCCAGCAGCCCAAUGGGAGUGCACAGAGGGUAAGGUGGGUGGCUCACAGGUGGCAGAGCUGGAGGGAAGCAGAGUGCUCCGGCCACUCCCCGCCCCCUUUCUAUACUCACUGAGGACAUUCCUCACUUCAUCCAACCCUGUGCCCAGCAGCCCAGUGGAAGUGCUUCCUCCCUCCUGUGUGAGCUUUACUGAGGAGCAGCUGCUGAGAAUGCUACAGCUUCUUGGAGCCACAGGAUUCACCGUGGCUGCCAAAGGGAUCCAGGACACAUAA
ensembl:lncRNA